GGGCCUAUAGUUAAGUGGUAUAACAGCACAUUCGCAUUGUGCAGUCGGCGGUCCGACUCCGCCUAGGUCCA
rfam:Parcubacteria bacterium GW2011_GWA1_45_10 TW85_C0003, whole genome shotgun sequence.